rnacentral:rRNA from 1 species
AAAAGUGUUAUAGAUCUUGAUCUAUGUGGUGACCGGGAGUUGAGGAUUGCAGCCGGAUACCCUCGUGGGCUCGUCACCCUGGCUUCUGACGGUUACCCCCGCCUUCGAUAGCUCGCUAACGUCGUGGGGACUCGAUUGUCUAGAUGUCAGAGUGAUUGAUUUUCGCUAAGGAUGCUGAAGUAAUGGCUUUAAACGACCCGUCUUAAAACACGGACCAAGGAGUCUAACAUAUGUGCGAGUGUUUAAACACUCGCAUAUAUGCUAGAUCGC